GACGAACGCUGGCGGCGUGCCUAAUACAUGCAAGUUGAGCGCUGAAGGUUGGUACUUGUACCAACUGGAUGAGCAGCGAACGGGUGAGUAACGCGUGGGGAAUCUGCCUUUGAGCGGGGGACAACAUUUGGAAACGAAUGCUAAUACCGCAUAAAAACUUUAAACACAAGUUUUAAGUUUGAAAGAUGCAAUUGCAUCACUCAAAGAUGAUCCCGCGUUGUAUUAGCUAGUUGGUGAGGUAGAGGCUCACCAAGGCGAUGAUACAUAGCCGACCUGAGAGGGUGAUCGGCCACAUUGGGACUGAGACACGGCCCAAACUCCUACGGGAGGCAGCAGUAGGGAAUCUUCGGCAAUGGACGAAAGUCUGAACGAGCAACGCCGCGUGAGUGAAGAAGGUUUUCGGAUCGUAAAACUCUGUUGGUAGAGAAGAACGUUGGUGAGAGUGGAAAGCUCAUCAAGUGACGGUAACUACCCAGAAAGGGACGGCUAACUACGUG
rnacentral:rRNA from 1 species